UUUAUUUUCCUUCCAGUGGAGAAGAACCACAGUGUCUUUCCCAUGAUCUGUAGGAAAUCUCAAACCAUACCUGAGAUAUAGUUUAGACAUUUUGCAACAAUUUUAUAGACCGGUUUCCUUAGACCAAAGUUCUUAACAUUUCUAUAUUAACGUUAUUGUGCGUCUCCCCUGCAAGGUGGGGUCCAUCAUCCAACCUGCACUAAGCCAGUACAGCAAUUAAUUAUCUGUCUGAACAUUUGUAUUCUGCUUACAAACUCAUGAAUUAUUCAGAUUUAUCUUAUUCAGGACCAGGUUUUCCUUUUAACCUCAACUGCAAACCAGCUGUCCAUCAAUUGUGAUGUGCUCAUACCUUAGGGUGAUGAGAGCAGCAGAAAAGCCUAAAUGGCUUGCUAGAAAGUGCUACCAGUAAAAUAGAGAUGUAUUUCAUUAGUGUUGGGAGGAUUGGCAGCUCUUUAAUUGUAUGAAUCACCCAAUGGGUGUGUUCCCAAAGCCAAUCGGAGCGUGCCAGUUCAGUAGAGCCACAGUGAGCAACGCUGUGCUGCGUCAUUCGGCAUUCUCCAGUGAGUGAUUAAAUCCAUGUCAUUUGUAAUAAAUCAAACGUUGUCACAGGGUCAAUCUUGUGGGUCAUGCUAGGUUAUCAUGGUGAUUUUGCACUGGUUAUAUCAGGUACUGCUGUGUCACACAGUUUUUUUCGAGGCCAUGCUGUGUUCCUCAGAUACCAUCUCUUGAACUCACCACGAGCCCUGUUGGAGCACAUCAGGGGAAUUAUGAGAAGAGUUUGCUGCACAGCCUUCUAGUGCACCUGGUUAUGGCCUCCUCUUAUGGCUGAAGUAUUUCUUCCCUGGAAAAUGUGCGUUUGUCUCAUUUAUUAGUUUGAACAGACACUGUGAUAUUUGUGAUCUUCUCCUCUAAAACAACACCAGCCCAAGGCCCAAAACAAGUAAGAUCUAGUCUCGAGGCAGUGGCUUCUUUUUUUCUCCGACAGAAAACAUUAUGCUAUUUCAGUUAAUUGUAUUGCUGCCUGACUCCAUGGAGUCAGAAAGAGAUCCUGCCCUCUGCUAACGUUGCUGCACAUCGGCAGUUUAAAUUUCCUAUUAUCAGAAACCCUCACAUAGCCGAGAAAUGCAUAAACCUCCCCUCAAUUAGGGGAUGUGGGCAAAAGACGAACAGUACAAGAAACAAGGCAUCAUGUCCUAGGAGUCCCCUACUUCAGUGGUCCCUUGUUUUCAGUUAUGAUUUGGUCAGGUAUGUGUUACAACAGCCCUGAGGUACUCCAGCUUGCAUCAGAGACUAAGCCAAUCUCUUCUGGUCUGAUGCUCAGAAAAAUACCAACACGGCACAAAGCCACCUUUAACCCCCACACCAUCCAUCCUGCUCCAGAUACCACUGAAAAAGCUGGAAAUCCACAGCUUCCCUACAGAGGUCGUUUUGAAUGGCAGGACUUUAAAAUGUUGACAUUUUUAUGCAUAAAAAGACUAUUUUAGGAUUUUUUUUAAGAAAAAUUUUGGCCUUCUGUGAGGUCUGUGUAGUUGUUGAGUAAUAACUGAUGUUUACUUUCACAGAAAAUGAAUGUAAGAAUAGUCUCAAUAACAUUUUUAAACCUCUCAAAAUAAAUUUAUUUUCCAUUACACACCUGACCCCUCCAGAAUACAGAGUGGCAGAUCAUGGUGUGAAAGUUUUGCUGGUACCAAUCAAGAUGACAUUCCAAACCCACUAGUGCCUUCCCUGGUCAGGUAAACAAAGGCUAACAGAUGAUUUAGUGAAAGCAAUGUCCCAGUUUUCAUCAGUAAAACCGAUGCUGCUGAUGAUGUUUCAACUUGUGCUGUCUAUGCAUGCUGUUCUCUGCUCAGAGCAAUAGAAGCCAUUCUGGUAGUGCAUGUUUUUUCACCCCUUGAUGCAUUUCAUUACCCAGUGUCCCUGGAGCACAAGAAAAUUGUCCCAUGCCCAUUCUAUAUGUGGAAAAUUUCAGACAUGGGAAGGUUAAGUGGUUAGCCAAGUAUACACAAAGACUGCAGCAGAGCUCAACUCACUUUUCAUCAAGUCUUAAGUCCAUAUCCAGAUCAUUCCACCAUCCUUCCACAGUGCUGUUUACCUGGCCCCACUGCCUAUCAGACCACAGAAGGGCAUUGUCUGUUUUCCAAGUGUGAAGUACAUAGAUGAUCUCUAAAGCACCAUGGAAAUGUCAUGGAUUGCAAUCAGUAAUGUAUUAGAGCUGAUUCAAGCCCUACAGUAAUUCUUGCAAGCUCCCAGAUCCUUUGAACAUAGGAGGUCUCUGCAGGAGUCGCAUCAGAUCUUGCUGGUCUUCUAUUAGAGCCAGUGAGAGAGCCGGGGAAAAAGUUAUUCCCUCUGCAAUUGAAAUCAAACUCAUAUUUUCCUCAGCAGAGCUAUUUUAAGUUGUUCAUUAUUAUCUUUUUUCUCUCCAAAGCAAAGCCUUUUUGAUACUCAGAGAUUGUUAGAACCAAAGGGGAAAGAGAGAACACCAGGGUAUUGUUCUUGCUGCAGUUGCAGACUUAUUUGGUACCUAAAAAAGAGAUUUUCUUAAAGAAAAAACCAACUCUACAAUGCUUUGAGUGAGAAGAAGAAAACAGCAAGGAAAAAAAAGAAAAAUAAAAUCCAUACUGUUGAAGUCUUGGGCAGUGUCAGGGAAGUAAGGCCUGGAGCUGACAUAUUGGAUCCAAUCCAUAGCUACUACAAGUGACCAUAAACCACUGAUUCUUAUGUUCAGCAAUGAUGCAUGUAAGGCUAAGAUGCAGAUUAUCUCAUUUAACCCUUGUGAUGUAAGAAGAAUCCGAUACUGAAUUCCUGCAUACGUCUGUGACAGAUGGUGUUUAACAGCAACAACAGGAACUCUGGGUUUGUCUUUCCACAUCUUGCUGGAUCCCAGCUUUCUCCUCAAUGUUUCCAUGUCAGUUGUAACUCACCUGGAGAAAUUCUCAGGUGUGACUUCCUACUGCAAAAUGAAGACAUGGAAAUACAUGCGCAUUAAGUUGCCAAACAGCCUUAUGUUUGCCAUGUGAUGCAGGCAAAGACACGGUUUGGCACCUCAUGUGUUUCUUCCGCACACCAGCACGUGGAAUAAUCUCACCGUCCUCCAUUCAUUUCUUUCUCCACCUGCUUGUCUGUGUUUUGUUUUUUUUUUUUCUCAUUUAUGUUCAGCAGGUGUCUCCAAUUCCCAAACAUGUUCCCAGAUCUUUUCCAAUGUCAGCUGUGGAGCUAAAAAGGGAUUUUCUGAAUUUGAUUGAUCAGGUUGUCACAAACCUGGCUAGCAGCCAUUUGUUGGACACUAAUCAGAUUGCUGCCACAGAAUCCAGCCGCUGAGUUUCCAAUGUGCUUUUAGCCUCUGGGGCAUAAAGAGAGACAAAAGCACUACACCUGACUGGGUAUCUCCAGGAAUGUUUGAGGGGCACAGAGCUUCUAUCGACCAUCCCUUCCUGACAACUUGACCUCCUACUGCAGUUGCCUCUCCCUGCAGGCUCACACAACUUCCCAGGUAGCUUAAGUGCAGCCUUUUUACAGAAUCCUAUCAUGAGACAUGAGCAUUUUGGCUUAUGCUUUCAUUUAUCAGGCACUGCUAGAUGUAACACAUCUGUAAUAAAGAUGAACUUCGCAUAUAAUGUCUGAACCCAUCAUCUCUCAGGAAAUACAGAUCGUGAGAAAACAAUAAACACUCUCCUUUUGACUUGAUGGGAGAUCUCCUCCCUUCAGAUGCCUGUUGAUAAUUUGUCUUUUUUGAUUGUGGUUAUUCCCCUCAUCAAACUAGGCUUUUUUCUUUGAAAAACCAUUCACUCCCCUCUCUGACAUCCAUUCUUUCUUGACUCUUGAUGAAGUUUCCUGUUUUGUUUCUCAACCAAGUCUUUCUUUAAUCUUUUCCAUCCUUACAUGGCUUUGUUCAGCUUUUUCCAAUGUGCAUAGGGCUCAGCAACCCCACCACCCUUGAGUUCAGUCUCCAUUGUUGCCCUCCAGGGUUCAAGGACCAACUGCUGUCAAUGAUGUGUGAAGGACUCUUCUGCGUCAUAGUGAGCAGGCAUCCACAGUAAGUUACUCUCACAGUUACAGCAAAGUAAUAACACCAUGACAUCGAGGAGAGCACACAACUCAUGCAGAGGUCUCACAUCAACAUAAGGCUCAGGACCAGCUGUUCAACAGCUGGCACCCAGGGCAGAGGCAUUUAAACCUAGUGCUGUUCUAGUAGAGUUGCAGGCUCACUAAGUACAGUGACUCCGAAAGAGGUACAGAUAUUUAUCUCAACAAGCAAUUGAGGCCUUCAGCUGCUCAUUUGGCAAGUGUUCAGAGCUGUUGAUUCUGGAGGACACAUGCCCACCUGGAUCUCCUCUACCCAUUCAAGCACAAUGUGCAGGAGCUCAGAGUAAAAAGACAAGACCAAGACACAGCAAGUGCAUGCACAGAAAUGUCCUGACGUGCCUCUGAAGAAAGUUUAUGCCCCAGGCUGGAUAGGCAAGGAACUGGGGCUUCCUGGUGAUUUUAACAGUCAAUAAAUUUUGGAUUCUUGCUGCAAUUUCAUGUGAACUACAAGAUGUUUUGUUACUUUCCACCAGAAUGCAGCAACAUGCAGUGAAAUGCAUUGCUUUUUGGAUAUUGAGGCUGCUUCACUGGGAUUCUGAGAUUCCGAGAUUCCAAUUUCCCUGAUCUUCUCAGGUGUGGUGAGACCCAUGGCCACCCCAAGCUGAAUAAAACACCCUUGGCCUGA